ACGGGAUGGUCAGCGGCAGCUUGGUCUUCAUGCUCCCAGAGACGCUCAACGCCCGUCUGCCUGAAAACAUCUCCGACGUCGAGGAGGGAAGACACAGACAUAGUCAUGCAAAGGGAGAUGCAAAGAUUGAGAAGAAAAGAAGGUCUGCAGACUCGGCAGCCCCGCAGAACAGCUGAUCAGCUGAUGGUCCUGGCUGGUCACAUGAUGAACUGGUCCUGCAGUCUGCGGGGACUCUGCAGGAAUCGGUGCUUUAUGACUUGAUACAGAAUUAGUUUUUUAGUAAUUUCAGUCUUGUGUAAAGACGUGUUUUAAAACCUUGUAGCUGUCGAUGAUGUUCAGCUGACUGUAAGUUCUGAGCUCCAGGUGGUGGAUUCUCGCUGUCUGGGUUCAGGUACCUGCCACUUUGCACAGAAUUUACUGAUUUCAAAUUAAGACUAUGCAAAUAAAAUGUUUUGUGUA